GCCUAUCGUAGUGUAGCGGUCAACACGUCUGACCCGGCUUGUCAGUGGACGUAGAUUCGAAUCCUAUCAGAGGCG